UUAUAUCUAAUAUUCCAAAAAUUUGAAAAUUUAUGAUGAAAUGAUAAUGAACCGGGAUCAACUGAUAGAGGUUUUCAAAUACAUUUUAGCAAAAUUUUAUUAUAUUUUUUCCAUCAGGAUUUUAUGUUUAAAUCUGUCCUUUAUCUUUUUAUUUUAUUUUUGCGGGUAAUAGCUUUUUCCCACUUUUUCCAAGUAACAAUGUCUUUCGGCACUUGAAAUAAAGAACGUUUCUGCUCGGUUCUACUGCCGGUCUUGCAAUUCGGUUAUAUUUAUCUGCGGACAUCGGUGACAGCGACGAGUAGUGGUUAUGCUAGAAAUUAAAUGUGCUUCAAAAAGCGGCCAUACUCCCACCACUGAAAUUAAAGGUA